UCGACGAAGCGCCUUGCCGGAACCCCUUCGGGGAGGAAGGCAUUGCGACUGAGUGGCGGACGGGUGAGUAACGCGUGGGCAACCUGCCCCAUACAGGGGGAUAACAGUUAGAAAUGACUGCUAACACCGCAUAAGCGCACAGGGCCGCAUGGCCCGGUGUGAAAAACUCCGGUGGUAUGGGAUGGGCCCGCGUCUGAUUAGCCAGUUGGCGGGGUAACGGCCCACCAAAGCGACGAUCAGUAGCCGACCUGAGAGGGUGACCGGCCACAUUGGGACUGAGACACGGCCCAAACUCCUACGGGAGGCAGCAGUGGGGAAUAUUGCACAAUGGGGGGAACCCUGAUGCAGCGACGCCGCGUGAGCGAAGAAGUAUCUCGGUAUGUAAAGCUCUAUCAGCAGGGAAGAAAAAUGACGGUACCUGACUAAGAAGCCCCGGCUAACUACGUGCCAGCAGCCGCGGUAAUACGUAGGGGGCAAGCGUUAUCCGGAUUUACUGGGUGUAAAGGGAGCGCAGGCGGCGCGGCAAGUCUGAUGUGAAAGCCCGGGGCUCAACCCCGGGACUGCAUUGGAAACUGUCGCGCUCGAGUGUCGGAGAGGUAAGUGGAAUUCCUAGUGUAGCGGUGAAAUGCGUAGAUAUUAGGAGGAACACCAGUGGCGAAGGCGGCUUACUGGACGACAACUGACGCUGAGGCUCGAAAGCGUGGGGAGCAAACAGGAUUAGAUACCCUGGUAGUCCACGCCGUANACGAUGAAUACUAGGUGUNGGGGGGCACAGCC
rnacentral:rRNA from 1 species